ACGAAAAUGUAUGAUUGAGCUGCACAUGUGUUAUAAUAAUUUCAAUUUAGAUGCUGGAGUUACCAAAAGUGUGGCAAUCAGCGAAUAUGCACAUUGGUCUUAGCCUUAGCGGUCACGAGCGUACGAACCGGCUGCUCUAGGUGGCUAAAGUGAUUUUAUUGAAAUAGGCAAAUAGUCAAAUGCAGACUAACAUAGCUCCCAUAAUGUGUGCAGGAGUGUGACAAUGGACAAAAAUGCACAAAAACAGUGAUAUGGCCAACAGGGAAGGAGAGCUAAGCACAAAAUUUACGGCAUGUGCCUUUUCUAUUAGGAGAAAAUGUAAUUAAAAGAGCUUUAUUUCCAAAAUAACAAAGAUCUCUUAGCCAACAACUGCGGUAUGACGUCAGCUAUAAAAGUAUUUGACAAGAUUUUAUUAUUUUCUUUAUGGUAUUUGUAUCACGGAAGCUUCUUACUCGAGUUCCUUUUGAUUUACUUGUAUACUUACAUACAUUUGUAUGCUUCUCUCGACACUGCGCGCAAUAACGGACGGACGGUUAGAUACACGGAAAUCAUAAAUUCGAUAAAUACAAAACUAUAUCUUUCUCGAUUAGUUCUAAGUGUUACAAACAAGCCGUUAGGUGAAUGGAUCUAUUAUACUUUGUGCAACAUGUUGCAAGAGUAGGCGAAAUUUCUCCAUGGGAAAGCUCCCUGUCACUUUUAUCUCACAUGUACUACAUGUAUUUACUUAUGCGUUUAUUAGUUUUACUACAAUCGAGUGCAAUUUUUGAGGAUGAGAUCAUAAGGCCCACUGCAGCAAAAUGCAUUAUUAUUAAGGUGACGGUGCUCGAAAGGUUUAAUUAAAUACGGCUGAAAUGGUGGAACAUUUUUUCUGCUGUCCUUUGGAGUGUGCUGCUAAGUUCUUCGGUUGGUUGGGUGGCAUUUCAUCAGUGCUUCUAUGCAUCUUCUGUGCUAUCUGCCUGGGGAGAGUACAUGAAAUUAUCGCCAGUGAAUAUUAUCGUAAAUAUAUUAGAGCUGAAUACUCUGAGGAGGCGCUCAGCAUCAUCAUUGCUUUAUAUAUGAUCUUAUGUAUCACCUCAACGGUCACUCAUAUAUGCUUGGUUGUCGGUACAAUGAAGAGAAAACAAAAUUUAUUGCUGCCGUGGACUAUUGAGACCCUAUUCAAUAUAGGGUUAACAUUGCUAUUAUAUCUUCGCGACGCUAAAUUUUCUUGGAUAAGUUUAAUAGUUUUGCUUCUUCAUUUAUAUUUUUGGUAUGCCAUGGUGUCACUUUAUGGGAAAAUUAGAGAAGGAAAUGAGGGGCGAUCAAACCGCAAUGUAAAUGUAUAGUUCGAAACGGGAGAAAAUUAAUUUUUGUGUCUUCGAAAAUACAUUCAUGACUAAAUAUGUAUAAAAAUAUAUAAUUGUUAAUAAAAAAUACGCUAGAGAGAAUUCUAA